UCGAGAAUCUUCGGCAAUGGGCGAAAGCCUGANCGAGCGACGCCGCGUGCGGGAUGAAGGCCUUCGGGUUGUAAACCGCUGUCAGUGGGGAGGAAGGCGCUGUGAAGAACAGCGUUUGACCUAUCCGCAGAGGAAGUCCGGGCUAAGUUCGUGCCAGCAGCCGCGGUAAUACGAACCGGACAAACGUUAUUCGGAAUUAUUGGGCUUAAAGGGUGCGUAGGCGGCCAUUCAAGUCGGGUGUGAAAUCCCACGGCUCAACCGUGGAACUGGGCCCGUUACUGUUUGGCUCGAGGGAGACAGAGGUGAGCGGAACUGAUGGUGGAGCGGUGAAAUGCGUUGAUAUCAUCAGGAACACCGGUGGCGAAGGCGGCUCACUGGGUCUCUUCUGACGCUGAGGCACGAAAGCUAGGGUAGCGAACGGGAUUAGAUACCCCGGUAGUCC
rnacentral:rRNA from 1 species